CUUUUCAUCAGAGAAGUACCUCAACUAUGAGAGACUAAAUGAGAAAAAGAAAUUCAGAAAAUCAUAUUGUCUGAAUUUUAGAGAAUUUAUUUGCAAGGUGGAAAAUAAGUAUUUGGUCAAUAACAAAAGUUCAUCUC